rnacentral:rRNA from 1 species
CAGCAGUAGCCGCGGUAAUACGUAGGGUGCAAGCGUUAAUCGGAAUUACUGGGCGUAAAGCGUGCGCAGGCGGUUUGUUAAGACAGAUGUGAAAUCCCCGGGCUCAACCUGGGAACUGCAUUUGUGACUGGCAGGCUAGAGUAUGGCAGAGGGGGGUGGAAUUCUGCGUGUAGCAGUGAAAUGCGUAGAUAUGCGGAGGAACACCGAUGGCGAAGGCAGCCCCCUGGGCCAAUACUGACGCUCAUGCACGAAAGCGUGGGGAGCAAACAGGAUUAGAUACCCCCGUAGUCCCUGUCUCUUAUAC